rnacentral:rRNA from 1 species
UACGAAGGGGACUAGCGUUGUUCGGAAUUACUGGGCGUAAAGCGCACGUAGGCGGAUUUGUUAGUCAGGGGUGAAAUCCCGGGGCUCAACCUCGGAACUGCCUUUGAUACUGCAAGUCUCGAGUCCGAUAGAGGUGGGUGGAAUUCCUAGUGUAGAGGUGAAAUUCGUAGAUAUUAGGAAGAACACCGGUGGCGAAGGCGGCUCUCUGGACCGAGACUGACGCUGAGGCGCGAAAGCGUGGGGAGCAAACAGG